UACGAAGGGGGCUAGCGUUGCUCGGAUUGACUGGGCGUAAAGGGCGCGUAGGCGGCUUGUACAGUCAGACGUGAAAUUCCUGGGCUCAACCUGGGGGCUGCGUUUGAUACGUAUGGGCUUGAGUUCGGAAGAGGGUCGUGGAAUUCCCAGUGUAGAGGUGAAAUUCAUAGAUAUUGGGAAGAACACCGGUGGCGAAGGCGGCGACCUGGUCCGAUACUGACGCUGAGGCGCGAAAGCGUGGGGAGCAAACAGG
rnacentral:rRNA from 1 species